GGUCAACAGUGAUCACUGACUGUUUUUAGGAGCUUUUUGAGAUUAAAUAGAAGAAAAUACAAAGCAUUAAACAUGUUAACAACACAAAACCCAGACUACUUUAGGCCCGGAAGUAGGAUUCGUCGCGUCAGCUGUGUUAUCUGCUUCGUUUUUGAUUGAUCUGAUUAGUGUCAGCUGUGUUUCGUACCUGUCUGCCAACUCCUCGUUUCCCUGUGUGUGUGUGUAUAUAUUAGUGUGUACUUCCCUCCGUUCUUUGUCGGAUCGUCUGCUUUUUAUCCUCUGUCAUCUGUGUCGUCCCCCCCCCCAGGUUUUCAUGUCUCAUGCUCCUUGCUCCAGAUCUUCUAGGAGGGAACCCUCAUCAUUGGUGAGAGGUCUGAGUAACAUGUGGGCCUACUGAUCCAGUGGUCGAAAACCAGCCAACAAGCCAGCCAACAAUGGAUGCGGCUGUAGACACCAGAUUGAACUCAGGAGAAGAUGCAGUGAUUGAGCAAAACGCAAUACAGCAUGAUCCAGAUAGUGUGUGCCCGUGUUGUGUCAAACUUGACAGCAGUUUUAUUACACUUUAGUGUCAAUAAAUACAUUUCUUAAACUGA